UACAGAGGUCUCAAGCGUUGUUCGGAUUCAUUGGGCGUAAAGGGUGCGUAGGCGGCGCGGUAAGUCGGGUGUGAAAUCUCGGGGCUUAACUCCGAAACUGCACUUGAUACUGCCCUGCUCGAGUACUGGAGAGGAGAUUGGAAUUUACGGUGUAGCAGUGAAAUGCGUAGAUAUCGUAAGGAAGACCAGUGGCGAAGGCGAAUCUCUGGACAGUUACUGA
rnacentral:rRNA from 1 species